GCCCGCUUAGCUCAGUUGGUAGAGCGUGCCACUCGUAUCUUGUGAUAUGGUAAGGUCGGUUGUUCGAAUCAGCCAGUGGGCA
rnacentral:tRNA from 1 species